ACGAACGCUGGCGGCAUGCCUAACACAUGCAAGUCGAACGAGACCUUCGGGUCUAGUGGCGCACGGGUGCGUAACGCGUGGGAAUCUGCCCUUGGGUACGGAAUAACAGUUAGAAAUGACUGCUAAUACCGUAUAAUGACUUCGGUCCAAAGAUUUAUCGCCCAGGGAUGAGCCCGCGUAGGAUUAGCUAGUUGGUGAGGUAAAGGCUCACCAAGGCGACGAUCCUUAGCUGGUCUGAGAGGAUGAUCAGCCACACUGGGACUGAGACACGGCCCAGACUCCUACGGGAGGCAGCAGUGGGGAAUAUUGGACAAUGGGCGAAAGCCUGAUCCAGCAAUGCCGCGUGAGUGAUGAAGGCCUUAGGGUUGUAAAGCUCUUUUACCCGGGAUGAUAAUGACAGUACCGGGAGAAUAAGCCCCGGCUAACUCCGUGCCAGCCGCCGCGGUAAU
rnacentral:rRNA from 1 species